UACGUAGGGUGCGAGCGUUAAUCGGAAUUACUGGGCGUAAAGUGUGCGCAGGCGGCCGCGCAAGUCGAGUGUGAAAUCCCCGAGCUUAACUUGGGAAUUGCGCUCGAAACUACGUGGCUGGAGUGUGGCAGAGGAAGGUGGAAUUCCACGUGUAGCGGUGAAAUGCGUAGAGAUGUGGAGGAACACCGAUGGCGAACGCAGCCUUCUGGGCCAACACUGACGCUCAUGCACGAAAGCGUGGGGAGCAAACAGG
rnacentral:rRNA from 1 species